AGAGGGUGCAAGCGUUAAUCGGAAUUACUGGGCGUAAAGCGUGCGCAGGCGGUUCGUUGUGUCGGUGGUGAAAGCCCCGGGCUUAACCUGGGAAUGGCCAUGGAAACUGGCGAACUGGAGUGUGGCAGAGGGGGGUGGAAUUCCGCGUGUAGCAGUGAAAUGCGUAGAGAUGCGGAGGAACACCGAUGGCGAAGGCAGCCCCCUGGGCUAGCACUGACGCUCAGGCACGAAAGCGUGGGGAGCAAACAGGAUUAGAUACCCUGGUAGUCCACGCCCUAAACUAUGUCAACUGGGUGUUCGGGAAGCGAUUUCUGAGUACCGUAGCUAACGCGUGAAGUUGACCGCCUGGGGAGUACGGCCGCAAGGUUA
rnacentral:rRNA from 1 species